GAGGCAGACAGAGAUAGAAACACAAAGAGAGCGAUGGUUGAUGAUGGCGACGAAGACGACGAAGACGACAGCAAUGAUGACGAUGAUGAUGAUGAUAAUAAUGGUGUUGAUGACGAUGCUGAUUGUUAUCACAGUGAUAACAAUAACAGAAGGGAAAGCUUGUUCGUACUUCCUUUUAAUGUUAUUUCUUUUGGUUGCUGUUGUUGUUGUUGUUGCUGUCACUUAGCUGGAUGUUGCCAAGGUUCAGCGGACGUAGAUUUAAGAAGCGGAAAGAAACUGGAUGUUGAGGCAAGGAUGCCUUUCCCAACGUUGGAAACUACUUUAAUAUCUGCGGCGGCGGCGGCGGCAGUUGUGUUGGCGGUAGUAGUGAUGAUGAUGAUGAUGAUGAUGAUGAUAAUGGCGGCAGUGAUGGUGGUAGUGGUGAUAGUAAUAGUGGUGGUAAUGAUGAUGAUGAUGAUGACGACGACGACGAUGGUGUUGGUAGCGGCGGCGGCGGCAGCGGCGGCGGUAGCGGUGGUUGCAGCGGUGGUGGUGAUGCUGGUGUUAAUGAUAAUGAUGGGGAUGAUGAUGAUGAUGAUGAUGAUGACGGUGGCAAUGGUGUUGAUGACAUAACUGAAGUGCCACUGGCUUUAAAGGAGUACCGUUAAAUUCACACAGAAGCAAGCAAAACAACCAUAUUAAGAUUUAGACACAAUUUCGAAGGAAAAAGCGAAAAAAAAAAAAAUAAUAAAAAAGAAAAGCGUAAAGAAAAGAGGAAAUGUAAUGAAUCUUAUAAUUUCCAAUAUGGAUUUACUUUUGCUUUGAAAAAUAACUACGAAAUGUCUGUCUGCUUAAUUUGUAACGAUUGUUUGACGGCUGAGAGUAUGAAGCUUAUAAAAAAAUGAAAAAGACACGUUUUGAUUCAAGAUAUUCCUCCUUUAGCAGUGAGCCUAUGGAGUUCUUUUUUGGUUGUAUUUAUUCAUUUUGAAAGGCUAUUGGAAUCUUUCAGUAAACAGAAGCAAUCUUUUGAGAAACUUAUUCAUAGAAUCGACACAGUGAAAUACUUAAGGACGUCCUUUGAUAUUGGUUAUUUAAAUAUUUAAAUGCAACAGUUAAAAAUUAAAAAAAAAAAAUCCACCCAGCAUCGGCGAAGAAUUCGUGUUAACAGCAACGAUUAACAUGACAGAAAUCGUUCGCAGAAUUACCAAAAAAAUGAGUUUGUGAAUUAAGGAAAUUUAGUCAUUCAAAUAAUUUUGUUGCUUGUCGUAUUUCAGAAAUUAAUGGUAAUCAAUAUGGCGAGGAACUUUCUGCAAGAAGUGAAAUAGGUUUUCUUAUCUUUUAUUUGGUUCUGGCAUAGGAUUGUGGUCAUGUUGGAGCACCGCUUUGAAAGGUCUAGUAGAACAAAUCACCUCUCUCACCGCCACAUCGCUACCCACUGAGAGGCGUUUGUGUCUAAAAAAAAUCCCUGCAGAUCUGAAUGCAGUGUCGCAAGAUGCAGUAAAAAUUAUUAAAUUCAUUAAUCCUUUGCCUGUUUGAAGCAUUUUCAUAAAUUUCUCCUA